rnacentral:rRNA from 1 species
AGCGAACGCUGGCGGCAGGCUUAACACAUGCAAGUCGAGCGCCCCGCAAGGGGAGCGGCAGCCGGGAGAGUAACACGUGGGAACAUACCUUUUGGUUCGGAACAACUGAGGGAAACUUCAGCUAAUACCGGAUAAGCCCUUACGGGGAAAGAUUUAUCGCCGAAAGAUUGGCCCGCGUCUGAUUAGCUAGUUGGUGAGGUAACGGCUCACCAAGGCGACGAUCAGUAGCUGGCCUGAGAGGAUGAUCAGCCUCACUGGGACUGAGACACGGCCCAGACUCCUACGGGAGGCAGCAGUGGGGAAUAUUGGACAGUGGGGGCAACCCUGAUCCAGCCAUGCCGCGUGAGUGAUGAAGGCCUUAGGGUUGUAAAGCUCUUUUGCCCAGGAAGAUAAUGACGGUACCGGGAGAAAAAGCCCCGGCUAACUUCGUG